UGUGGUUGGAUAUCAAACAAUGUAUAUCUUUUUACUUUUCAAUAACAUUUCCUGGCUACUAACGAUAGUGGCAUGAAUGCAUUGCCAUGCUAUAAUCAGUUCCAGGCUCCGUUUUGAUAGUUUAUAAUGUAAUUUCUCUGAAAGAAAUUUUAGAUAAAAUAAUUGGCAUUCUGAUCUCUGCAAGUAUGCUUCAUUUUAUAGUGAUUAAAAAAGGCCAUUUAGCUGAUUUGUCAGCCUUGUAAUAACUUGCUGUUAGAAACUCUUCAGAGUCCUUUGGAGAAGGGCCAUUUUAUACGGAUAAAGGGGGAGGAGAGCUUAAAUCUUUCUGAAGUCACUUUUUGGUCUUUGACGCAAAUCACUCAAAGACCAUGUAUAACUUAACUCCAACAUUACCUCCAAGGUAAGCAAGCUUGUUUUAGCAUCACUUUUUGAUCUCUGGACAAAUGGCUCUAUAUUUCUGUAGAUCCGUGGGGCCACCAGGAUAAGUCACUGUCCUCGGGGGACCUGAAGGGUUAUCUUCUAAUACCAUCGCUUAAUAAAAACAUGCUUGAAAAUGAAUUGUUACGCACAUCAAUAACCAUCUUUGUUUAGUUAAAAGAACUCACCUUCCUAAUUCCACAGUCAGAGACCGAGAGUCCUAGAAUUAAUUGGACACCACUCUACAUGGUGCAUCAAGCAACCCGUUCUACUUGGCCAGCAUUUAGCUCAGAGACUAGCAAACUCAAUUAUCCUUUCCUUACUUGUAGAGUUAUUUCAUCUUGACCCCUUCUAGCUUUAGAACACAUGGUGAUAGAACUCUCUGGAAAACUCAUUUCUCUUAAAGCCAUUAGCAUCUGUUUUUGCACCUUCCGCCUUGCUUACCCUCAGCAUCUGCUUGCAGCCCUUCUGGCCCCUUUCCUAGUAGCCAAUCGUAUUGCAAAGGGCUUUGCCCUCACCUUUGUUGUUGAGAACAUCACUUUCCAUCUCUCCACCCUUCUUUCUCUUUGGUUGUUUUAAGUAUAUUUAUAAAAAAUUGAAAACAACUGGAAGACUUUUUUUCAAUGAGAUGUUAUCAAGAUGGAUAGUUAGCAUCAUGCAAGCUAUUUCGCUGUCUCUCCCUUUUCCCCAGUAACCUCUGCACUAGCUUUCACAGAUUGUGACAUUCUUACGUAGGAAAUGAAGUCCUCCUUACCCGAAGUCUGUUCACCUGUCAGGGGAAGAUAAGAGAAAGGGCCUCCAGUAGCAGGAAAGAUGCUUGCAAUCCCAAUGGAGCGUGCAGGUGAAGGGAAAGAGGAAGCAGAGGUUCACAAGUGUCUCUUGGGCUUUGGCGAAGCUGUGGUUCUCCUGAUUUCUGUGGCUCCUGCUGUUUAGUGACUGCUUUGGGGUUUCUCCAGGCUUCUGACACAAAGAUUCCUAAGAGGCUCCUCUGAUGAUUGUUUCUUCUUUGACAUCCUGGGUUUCCCAGGACUGCCACUGACAAAGCGGCCUUGUCCUGUUCCUCGUCUCUCCAGUAUUGCUGCCUAGUGCCUGUAGCUCUUAGUCAAUGCAUUAGACUAAUUGUCAAAAAUGCAACAAAGUAUUUUUGCUUGUUUAUAAAUAUUUUCUUAUUGCUUACAUGUAGUUGUUCCAUUAUCCUACUACUAAACUUGAUCAUUUCUCUGUUAUGUUUCAAUAUCCAUAUAAGAAGCAGUACAAAGCAGUGGGUAGAGAUCAUAGGUCUUGGUGAGAAACUGUCUAAAUUCUUGUCGUAACUCCAACUAUCACCAGCUGUGUGACUUAGGAAAGCCACUUAAUCUCUCUGUGCUACACUUUCUCAAUCACAAAAUAAAUAUAAUAGUAAUACUAUAGGAACACUAUAUCAAAGGUUAUUGGAAGGAGUUAGUAUCUACAACCCUUGUCCAAACCCUUGAGACUAGAUAUAUUCUAGAAUUAGGAAAUUUUAAUUUUUUAAAAAAGGGUUACAUGGAAUAUGUACGAUGUAUUACAUAAUACCCCAUGACAGAUUUUGGAGAGCAUAGUCAAGCAUAUUAACAAUUCUGCAGGAAAAUAUACAAAUAUUCACAGUAAGUCAAAUAAAUAAAGACUAGAAAUAGCCACAGAGCAGUUCAGGUCAAGUUUUGCCAUCAAAUGAGUUCAAGGUGGGUCAGGUGUUGCUGUCAAAUGAGUUUUGAAAACAGUAUAUUUUGGAGCUGCGACCCCAUGAGUGUGGUGUGUAGCCAAGUGUCAGCACAUACUGAGUUCCCCAAAGACAUUGUCUAUUAUUAUUAAUAUUAUUAUUCAGUAAAAGCAUUUAUUGUGUCGACCACAUACUGUUUAUUUUGACAUAUUUUAUUGUCCUAUGGAACCUCUUGGUUAAGGUCAGGGACCCUCCCUUCCUGUCAGGCAUUGAUUAAUUGAUACUUUCUUUUUUUAAGGCUCUGGGUAAAAACUUCAGAACUUGAAGAGACAGGUGUCAGUCAGAAGAGUUUUUCUAACAAAAUCCUUUUAUUUUCUCCUCUGGAUAAGUUUAAUAUUCAGAUACAGACCACAUUUUUUUAAAAAAUUUUUUUGAAGUAUAAUUGGCGAAUAAAAUUGAAAGAUAUUUAAAGUGUAUAACGCGAUGAUUUGAUAUAUAUAUCAGUGUGAAAGAAUUCCCCUCAUUGAGGUAAUUAACACAUCCAUCACCUCACGUAAGUAGAACGUUCAAGUUCUACUCUCUCAGCAAACUCCAAUUAUAUAACACAGUGUUGUCAAUUAUAGUCAUCAUGUUCUACAUUAGAUUCUUAACUUAUAUAAAUUAUACCUUGGCAUUAGAGCAGAGGAAGACAGGGUACCAUCCUCUGCUAAUAACAGUUUAUUGCAUCUAUAUGUUCACAGAUGAAAGAAGCCUUAUCCCAAGCCAACUGGCCAAGGCCUUGAUUUGCAGGACAGACCUCCCAUAUUUUAAACCCAAAUAUAUCUAGUAAGGUGCCUAAAUGAUAGGAGAGGUUAUCGUUAAAUUUUUUUUCAGGAAAAUUUCUGUAAGUAGUCUGGUCCCUAGUUUUCAUUUUUUAAAAUUCUUUUACUGUUUUAUGAUUAUAGACCAAAAAAAAGAAACAUCCUAUAAAUUUUUCUGUAAGUAUUUGGCCCCGGUUUUCAUUUUUUACUGAUAAAUAACCAACGAUUGAAUAUAAGAAAUCAUAUAUGUAUAUAUACAGAUGUAUGGUAUUAUUUGAUAUAUAGGUAUGAAAAUAUCUAUACAUUCAUAGGUAGAUAGAAAUACAGAUAUCUCCUAUAAGAAAGCCAUCUAGAUUUUUUCCCCCAAAAAACCUUUUUUUCAGGACACAUCUCCUCUAUCCAUUCACAGAAAUGUGACAUUCACUCAGGAGGCCACUUUAUCUCCAGCCUAAAAUUCCGGACGCACUGCACACUUGGUACGCUGCCCUUCAGGAUCACUACCAGUUGAACCUAAAUUCUGCGGCCAUUACCCUGAAAAGUACAUCAGGCUAUGAAACAAGCUCUCAAAGGAAAGCAGUUUUUCAAGCUACAUUAUGGUGCUUUUAAAAGGAAUAAAAUCCUUAAUGAGAAAAUGACUCUCUUGAGACUUCUGGCUCCAAGGUGAGCUUUGCACACUUGCCCUCUCCGUUGGCAGAGAAUCUGUUAAGGGACAUUUCUGGGAACCCAUUCUGUAAAAGGUCCAGGAUGAAAUAGGAUGACAGCCGGUUCUCUGGAGCCUCCGUUGGGCAACUUUAUAAUUCUCUGACAGAUUUUCUCUGAAGCUAUUCCCACACAGCAAUACCCAAAUCACCCAGCCUCCACCCUUCUACAUACCCACCAAGGAGGGAGAAAGUGGGUUGCUAAGGAAUGUGUUGCAACAGCACCUGAUGGAACUAACACUUGUCAGCUAAUAACAGUUUGGUGUGAAUAAACUUAUCAGAAUCUUCCCAAGUGGAUGAGUACAUUGUCAGCUUCUGGAGGACUUGGGCCCUAUAUUUAUUUAUCUUAAUUUCUAUUCACAUCUAGUGCAGUGCUAAAUAAAUAUUUUGGAGUAUCAGCUGAGGUCGGCCUACUCUACAAUAUAGCCCUCAGCUGGCUUCUCCAGUUUGGGCAUGAGAAGCAAGGGGGUCUUUUUCUAGUCCCUGCUGCUCGUUGCUUGAGUCUGCGCCGUAAGUGGUACAAAGACAUGGCAGCUUUUAGAGGUGACCUGGAGCGUGACAGAACUUACCUGGAUCUUGGGCGUGAUGAUUAGGGGAGAAAAUGAUGCUUCAGAUUCAGAAUCAUUCACCAAAUGCUAAGAUGGAUAUUGGGAAUAUUGCUGAAUAAAGGAUAAUGGAAAAUCUCUAAAAAUUACUGUGCGUAAGACUUUCAGCAUCUCUCUAGGUGGUCUCCAUUAGUUGGUGGUGUAAUUUAGGUGUGACGGCCCCUCCUGCAGGAGAGUGGUAAAAUGAAGCUUGAUAAUAGGAUACAGAAAGCAGGAUUGGCUCAUUUUGUUCCUUCCAACUUCCCAGGCACCCACAUUUAAGGCUUCUUGGUAAGUUACAAUGAACACUCUAGCAUUAUGAGAAAUGGAGAUGACACUAAAAUGUAAUUACAUUUAAUUUAUGGAAUACAGAAUAAUAACAUCCUGUAAACUAGGACAAGUAAGAGAAAGAGACAAUCUAAUCUGGUUUCCUGAGCCUCUUUCCUCUCUACCUUUUUAGCAUUAACCAAGGCUCACUGUAACACGUAUUCUAAGGAGAUGGAUUCACUGGCGUGGUUCUUUGUUAUCUUUCCUUUCCCCAGAAAUGUAAUUAAGAAGCAAAUCAUAUUACCUUGAUGACAGAGACAAAGUGUGUCAGAAAUGGCAUUAUUACUGCAAAAUUACAGAAAACACAGACUCCGUUCCCACUUCCAAUUUAUCACAAUAGUGAUAAAAGGUCUGAAUGCUCCUAAACGGUGAAAUUGAAUGAGACUUAUCACCAUUUUGUUACUUUUGAGCAGAACUAAUUUCUUUUCACCCUUAUGGAGUUAAGUAUAUAAUUUACGAUGCAUUUCGCUGCUUCAGACGCUAGUAGUGUAUAUAACAGUAACAAUCCUUGUGUUCUAUUUGGAAGAAGUUUUUUCUCGAGCUCUUAAUUGGUCUAGAAAUUCACAGGAUAAACCUACAAGUCAUCAGAGUGGUAAGCAGUGUUCUUGAUUAAGAAAAGGAGACACAGGGAGUUCAAGGUUUUAUGCAGUUUGUUUAGUUCAAGUUUAUGCAGCAUUUAUUUCCCAGGAGGUAAAAGAUCACCACCUACUUAAUUUCAUGUACCUCCUCCCUCUGAGCUUCUGGGACGUGAUAAAAUCACUGGCGUAUACUAGCUUACCCUGAUGAGAUCUGCUGUCAAAUGUGACCUUUUUGUUCUUGUUCAGGCCAGACCCUGUCACCAACACGUGCCUGGAAGAGGCUUCAAACAUCUGUUUAACUCCCUGUACACUGCCUUUCCCUCUGUUGGCCCACCCAGAGGCUGCAGCAGAUUCCUCCCAUGGUCAGAACGCUGGAAACCAUCCACAGGCUCCAGCAGUGACUCCCAGCAGCUGAGGGGACUUUAUGACAGGACAUGUCCCAAGCUUUUUAUCUUGUUAAGGAGACUAUGAUCAUUUUAGGAGGCCAAUCUCAGCUCAGACAUUGUCCCGGGGGGUCUCUUUCCUCUUUAAAGACUUUCCAACCUAAUUCUCCCUUCCCCAGCCCGGCACUUCGGUAAAGUGCACUGGUUCUCCCAGGAUCUUUGUGUCAGGAGAGGAUAAGAGGAGCCUUUCCUUUUUAGGACAAGAGCAAGAAGAAAAACUCAGAGCUGGGCGUGACAUCAAGACUGACAGAGUGGAAUUUUGCCCUAGCCCUGUGAUCCUGGAACACAGAGAAGGUUAGAGAAACCCCCCCAGGCUUGGUGUUCCAGGAAACAGCAUCCUGCAGAGAAGCCCCCUUCCAUAUAUGACUUAGAUACGCUCACAGAUGCCCCCUCGACAAGGCCAGACACAAACUCUCCAAACUUGUAUUCUUUGCCUCGUACACUGUUCCUCGCUGAACCGCUUGUCCCCACUGAUCACUCAGGACCAAACACUGGUUAACCAAACUUGUUAAGUUCCUGCCCUUCACUCAGGUCUCUGAACUUUAAGCCACCCUGACAACCCCUCCCUAAGAGCCCCUGUCAAGAAUAGGCUGGUCUCACAGUAGAACAUUCUCUGAACUCGUGUCCCACCAGGCCACCCUUAUCCCACUUCCCCACACCUGGCUCUUUCUAGCAUUGUCUGCUCCUCCAGAGAAAGAAAGGCCUUUUCUGCUUAACUCUUGAGACACUCGCAAAUCUCUGGUCAGCGUUCUCCCUGUUCCAGUAGUGCUUUCCCCCAUCUUCCUGCUUAUCCUGGCUUAGGCCCCAUUAAAUGCCUAGAUGGUUCUUCCCCAGUGUCUCUCUGUCUCUCUCUCUCGCAAACAGAUGUACACACUUCUCCAGAAGGGCUCCAAUAUGGCUAUUUUUCUCUAAUAAAGGAACAGGUGUGGUGAUGCACAAGUUACAAGUAACAUACCACAGAAAAGCAGAUUUUUCUUUAUCUCUGAAUUUCUAUCCACUUUUGAUGUCCUCCCAAAUUGCUUGGCAAUCUCAAACCCCGUAUUGAGAUCUCUGUUUUAUGUAGAUGUGUCUUUCAAAACCUGUUGGUAAAGCCAAUCAGUCUGACUCAGAAGAAAAAUAAGCUCAGAAAACACAAGCAAGGCUCGUUUUAAUUGUUUCUUUCCCCUCUCAGUAAACAGAGCAUGAUUUGCCAUAAAAACGUCAAACUGUGGUAUUUAACUGAAUAAAUUCUGAGGAUUUUAGGUAGAAUACAUAAUACUUAUUCUGACAUGGUAUUGUUUCAUGCUCAUUCUAACCUGGUAUUGCAUUCUCAGAAGGGAGAAGAAGUCUUAUAGGUUCGUGUGUUUUAAGUUAAAAAUAGUAUUUGUUUUUCCUAGCAUUCGUGACUAGCCGUGGCCUAGGUAGACUCUCACGGUUUAAGCCUUUUCAAACUAAAUUUGAAGCACCACUAUUCUUUCCUAUCAGAGUAAAACACAUUCUAAAUCCUAAUAAAUCUAUUUCUUUAAUAUGCCACUUGAUGCAUAAUAGUGCAAACACAAACACAUAAUGGGCUCCUCUUGAGAAAGGAAAAUGUAUUCACUCCUGAUGAAAGAUCUUUUGAUAAUUUACUCUUGGCUUCACCACUUGAUUUAUAUCAUCUUCCCACAUUAAUUUGUUUUUAAUUUUUUUUCUGCCUUCUAAGGUUUUUCUCAUUUCAGUGACAUAGACAUGACAGAUGAGGUUGAUGAACUCCGGAAGUGCAGACUCUAACUCAGAUGAAAAGCUUAAAUUAUUGCGCAGUCCUACAGAAUCUGGGGAAGAAACGUCGAAGUCUGGAUUUCCAAGAGCUUGAUCAUAGCAUUUUAGAAACAAGUGAUGUAUUCAAAACAACAAAAACCAUGGUUACAACAGAGUGUAUUUCUUUAGUUAAUACUGAAUGGCUCCCUGGAGUGUGUUUUUUCCAAGUCUUCAGCUAAUUCCAUUGUGUGCUUUAAAAAUGAUGGCAAGGCUAUAGAAGCUCCUUAAAAUCCCUUCUUUAUGAUAGACUUUAAUUUCAAAAAUGUAUUCCUUCUAUGAACUUUAUUUUAAUUUAGAGAAAAGUAAAUAAGUUGUUUAAUUACCUUCAGUGAAGGAAGGAAGUGAUAUAGAUGACAAUGCCUCAAGGUGAAACAUUGUUUUCAAAAAUAAUACGUAAUCCCUUUACAGGUUCUGCUCGUGUACCUUCACAUGGAAGCUCCUAUUCUGUUUUCCGGUCAAGCCUCGCAAAGAUGCUUGGUUUGAGGGCACGGCCCUGGCCAGAACACUGGCACCCCAGCACUUCCUCCUGGAGCCCUGGACUGGAAGCUUUCGGCUCGUUUGCUAAAAUUUAAGGAUCUUUAAUCUGCAACUAAAGGAAGAUGGAAGAAAUCAUAAUCCCAAAUGAAAUUUGGGAUCACCCUGAACAUUACAGUUUAAUCUACUUAACAAAAGAAUAAACUUGGAAAUGAUAAACUGAAUAAUUUUUCUCUAAACUGAAUAUUAUGGAUAAAACUAUGGAACCAUCUCAUUCAGCUAAGAUUACAUACAAUUUUAUUUAUACUGUGGAUCCCAGGAGAAUAUAAAGGUGAGGACACAGAAAUAAGGUGGCUGUCUGAAGGCCAGGAAGGAAGACCUCAUCAGACCCUGAUCAUGUCGGCACCCUGAUCUCAGACGUCCAGACUCUAGAAUUGUGACAAAAUAAAUUUGUGUUGUUUUAAGCCACCA